GCGCCUAAUGCAUGCAAGUCGAACGAUCGAGUCCCGACUCGUCGGGGCAAGAUAGUGGCGGACGGCUGAGUAACACGUAAGUAACCUAUCCUGAAGAGGGGGAUAAUCCCGAGAAAUCAGGCCUAAUACCCCGUAUCUCUCGCGUUCCACGCGGAUGCGAGAGAAAGGCCUCCCGACUUGUCGAGGGGUCGCUUGAGGAGGGGCUUGCGUUCUAUCAGGUAGUUGGUGAGGUAAUGGCCCACCAAGGCUCCGAUUGGUAGCCGGCCUGAGAGGGCGGACGGUCACACUGGAACUGAGACACGGUCCAGACUCCUACGGGAGGCAGCAGUGAGGAAUUUUCGUCAAUGGGGGAAACCCUGAACGAGCAACGCCGCGUGGAGGACGAAGACCUUCGGGUUGUAAACUCCUGUCGGACGGGACGAAAGUUAUCGAGGUUAAUACCCUUGGUAGUUGACGGUACCGUACGAGGAAGCCCCGGCUAACUUCUGUGCCACCAGCCGCGGAAAUACGAGGGGGGCAAGCGUUG
rnacentral:rRNA from 1 species